rnacentral:rRNA from 1 species
UACGUAGGCAGCGAGCGUUGUUCGGAAUUACUGGGCGUAAAGAGUGUGUAGGCGGUGCUCUAAGUUUGGUGUGAAAUCUCCCGGCUUAACUGGGAGGGUGCGCCGAAAACUGGAAUGCUUGAGGGUGGGAGAGGAAAGGCGGAAUUCCUGGUGUAGCGGUGAAAUGCGUAGAUAUCAGGAGGAACACCUGUGGUGUAGACAGCUUUCUGGACCACUUCUGACGCUGAGACACGAAAGCGUGGGUAGCAAACAGG